rnacentral:rRNA from 1 species
GGUUAAGCGACUAAGCGUACACGGUGGAUGCCCUGGCAGUCAGAGGCGAUGAAGGACGUGCUAAUCUGCGAAAAGCGCCGGCGAGGUGAUAUGAACCUUUGACCCGGCGAUGUCCGAAUGGGGAAACCCAGUGUGUUCCGACACACUAUCGUUAACUGAAUACAUAGGUUAACGAGGCGAACCGGGGGAACUGAAACAUCUAAGUACCCCGAGGAAAAGAAAUCAACCGAGAUUCCCCCAGUAGCGGCGAGCGAACGGGGAGCAGCCCAGAGUCUGAAUCAGCUUGUGUGUUAGUGGAAGCGUCUGGAAAGUCGCACGGUACAGGGUGACAGUCCCGUACACGAAAGCACACAGGYUGUGAACUCGAAGAGUAGGGCGGGACACGUGGUAUCCUGUCUGAAUAUGGGGGGACCAUCCUCCAAGGCUAAAUACUCCUGACUGACCGAUAGUGAACCAGUACCGUGAGGGAAAGGCGAAAAGAACCCCGGCGAGGGGAGUGAAAAAGAACCUGAAACCGUGUACGUACAAGCAGUGGGAGCCUCUUUUAUGGGGUGACUGCGUACCUUUUGUAUAAUGGGUCAGCGACUUAUAUUCUGUAGCAAGGUUAACCGUAUAGGGGAGCCGAAGGGA